UACGUAGGGGGCAAGCGUUGUCCGGAUUUAUUGGGCGUAAAGCGAGCGCAGGCGGUUUCUUAAGUCCGAUGUGAAAGCCCCCGGCUCAACCGGGGGGGGUCAUUGGAAACUGGGAGACUUGAGUGCAGAAGAGGAGAGUGGAAUUCCAUGUGUAGCGGUGAAAUGCGUAGAUAUAUGGAGGAACACCAGUGGCGAGGGCGACCCCCUGGACUGUAACUGACGCUGAGGCACGAAAGCGUGGGGAGCAAACAGG
rnacentral:rRNA from 1 species